UUCUCUGUCGCCCCCAGGGAAGAUAAGUGGGCCUGGGGCCUCGUGCCAGACCCUCAGGGCUAGAGUCCCACGUCCUCAGCCCCUCGUCGCCUCCUGGACCUCCCAUAGCCCCCUGGAAAACCUGCCAGGUGCUGGCUCUAGGACACUGCCCCCUGCCCUGUCUCCCAAGUCGUGACAGUAAUUGCCCGCUGUGUGACAAGCCCUCUUUAGAAGCUUCUCCAGGACCAGGCCUGGUCCUACUGGGAUGGCAGGUAAGCAGGGCAGGGGUGGGGUCCAGCGCCAGGGGCCAGGGCCCGAGCCACACCCACUCACAGCCAGGCCACGGGCCUCAGGGCAUGGAUGUGGAAGCGGGCGGGGGUGAUGCGGUUAGGCUGGGCAGAGGGCUGCAGAGCCAGACCUGGGUGUCCCUUGAAGGGGCAUGAGCAGAAGGCAGAUCCCCACGGCCACCCCUGGGGGAUGGAGGAUUCCUCGAGGCCUCAGGGCCCUUCUUCACGGGGCUCCUGUUUUAGGGGUCUUUACCCUGCAGGUGACAUGGGGGGCUGACACAGGAUCCUGUGCACCCCAAAGGGAGUAGACAUCAGCCCCAAGACGAUUCCGCUGGGUGACCCCCGCAGAGUGGGCGCUCUCUGCCCAGGCGUCACGACACCUGCCAAGUCCUGUGACCCUACAAUGGACGAAGCUCUAAACAGGCGAAAGAAGCUAAAAAAAGAGAGCAGAGCUAUUAACGUGGCUAUUAACACUUCGAGGAACUACAGUAAUUAAAACCCCAGGGCGCCGGCCAGGCGAGACCCACAGGCCAGGAGCCCAAUGAACAGCCCAGAUCCAGGCCCAGCCCCAGAGAAGAGCCAGUGCGGAACACAGGGGACACGGUGACGGUGACACGGUGACCGAACGGCAGCCCGACGUCUGUCAGUCCGGUGACAGCAUCUUACAGGAAAAUAGGUAGGGAUCAGCUUUCUUAACAGAGAAGGAUUUUGAAGCUAAAAGCAAUGGAAGGAAUCACAAAAUAUCAAUGGAUUUGGCCACAUAAAAAUAUAUGUUCAAUAAAAAGCCCCAAAUUAAAGGGAAACAACGAAUCAGGAAAACUGACUGACAGAGAACGUGUCAAGGGACUGGCGUCAUCACCACAGAGGGCAGUCGUCAGCAAAAACUAAGAAAACACCCGAAGCUCCCACAUGAGCAGGCAAACUUUAGUUUUCAGUUUUUCAGUUGGAGUUUUUUCAGUUUAAAAGCCUUGAAACACGCACCGUUUAGUCUAUUUCAAUUACACUGCGAUAAAGCUGAAAACAAGAGGCAGAAAGUAGAACUGUACAUAAAUCCUGAUCCCAACUAUGUCAGAAGAUCUGGAAGAAAACAUCUGAAAAUGUGAGCAGCGGUGUCUUGGGUGGUAGAAUUCUGGGUGGUUCCUUCUUCCUAGUCGUCUGCACUUUUCACAUUUUCUACAAUAAGCACGCACUCCGUCUAGAAUCAGACGUGUAUAAUUUUAUUUAAUUAUCACCCACGCUUAAUCUCAUCACGCCCAUCUUUAAAGACCCCUACGGGACCACCACACACAGAAUAAAGCCAGACUCCAUCCUGGCA